rnacentral:rRNA from 1 species
GUAAAGGCCUACCAAGGCGACGAUGGCUAGCCGGCCUGGGAGGGUGUACGGCCACAAUGGAACUGAGACACGGUCCUUACUCCUACGGGAGGCAGCAGUGGGGAAUAUUGCGCAAUGGGCGAAAGCCUGACGCAGCGAUGCCGCGUGAAUGAUGAAGGUUUUCGGACUGUAAAAUUCUUUUAGCAGGGAAGAUAAUGACGGUACCUGCAGAAAAAGCCACGGCUAAUUACGUGCCAGCAGCCG